UGGGGAAUCUUCCGCAAUGGACGAAAGUCUGACGGAGCAACGCCGCGUGAGUGAUGACGGCCUUCGGGUUGUAAAGCUCUGUUAAUCGGGACGAAUGGUUCUUGUGCAAAUAGUGCGAGGAUUUGACGGUACCGGAAUAGAAAGCCACGGCUAACUACGUGCCAGCAGCCGCGGUAAUACGUAGGUGGCAAGCGUUGUCCGGAAUUAUUGGGCGUAAAGCGCGCGCAGGCGGAUUGGUCAGUCUGUCUUAAAAGUUCGGGGCUUAACCCCGUGAUGGGAUGGAAACUGCCAAUCUAGAGUAUCGGAGAGGAAGGUGGAAUUCCUAGUGUAGCGGUGAAAUGCGUAGAUAUUAGGAAGAACACCAGUGGCGAAGGCGACUUUCUGGACGAAAACUGACGCUGAGGCGCGAAAGCCAGGGGAGCGAACGGG
rnacentral:rRNA from 1 species